AGAUAAAAUAGAAAAAAGUUUCUAACUUUAAAAAAGCAUUGAAUUGUUAUUUAUCUU
rnacentral:tRNA from 1 species